UACGGAGGGUGCAAGCGUUAUCCGGAUUCACUGGGUUUAAAGGGUGCGUAGGCGGGUUGGUAAGUCAGUGGUGAAAUCUCCGAGCUUAACUUGGAAACUGCCAUUGAUACUAUCAGUCUUGAAUAUUGUGGAGGUCAGCGGAAUAUGUCAUGUAGCGGUGAAAUGCUUAGAUAUGACAUAGAACACCAAUUGCGAAGGCAGCUGGCUACGCAUAUAUUGACACUGAGGCACGAAAGCGUGGGGAUCAAACAGG
rnacentral:rRNA from 1 species